rnacentral:tRNA from 1 species
GUGGUCUUCGUCCAGCGGCCUAGGAUAUCGGGUUGUGAACCCGAGGACACGAGUUCAAAUCUCGUAGAUCACC